UACAGAGGGUGCGAGCGUUAAUCGGAAUUACUGGGCGUAAAGCGUGCGUAGACGGUAGCGUAAGUCAGAUGUGAAAGCCCCGGGCUCAACCUGGGAACUGCAUUUGAGACUGCUCUGCUCGGGUGCGGAAGAGGGAAGCGGAAUUUCCGGUGUAGCGGUGAAAUGCGUAGAUAUCGGAAGGAACACCAGUGGCGAAGGCAAUCCCCUGGGCCUGCACUGACGCUCAUGCACGAAAGCGUGGGGAGCAAACAGG
rnacentral:rRNA from 1 species